GGUCUGGAACAGAAACACUUCCUCUUACACUGAUUUGUGUAACCGUGUUCAUCAUUGUGAGUUUAGUUAUCUUUGGAUUUAUUUAUGCACGACUGCGCCACAGAAAACCAGAACCACCGCAUAGUCCUCAAAACACGAGGUCAGAGGACAUUGAGCCGUACAGCACCUACAUACGGAGAGAUACUGGACCAUAUUCGACUGUUCAAAUGCACGACUCUAAACAGAAUACUAACAGUUCACAUGUGUCAGCAGACAAAACUGAGACAGUCUACGCAGAAGUACAAUAAUAUUAUAUCACAUUUUUCAACACUGUCAAGUGUAGUUUGGCAAAUUCACCACAGGGUGGCAUCAUUUGGAAUAUGACUGACAAAUAAAGAACUGACCAGAAUCAGCUUUAUCAUCUCAGCAUUUUAGCAUUGUGUUGUUAUGUAAAUAUUUUGUUACAAACUGCAGUAAAACUUUAUCCAUCA